rnacentral:rRNA from 1 species
GAUGAACGCUGGCGGCGUGCCUAAUACAUGCCAGUCGAGCGAACAGACGAGGAGCUUGCUCCUCUGACGUUAGCGGCGGACGGGUGAGUAACACGUGGAUAACCUACCUAUAAGACUGGGAUAACUUCGGGAAACCGGAGCUAAUACCGGAUAAUAUAUUGAACCGUAUGGUUCAAUAGUGAAAGACGGUUUUGCUGUCACUUAUAGAUGGAUCCGCGCCGCAUUAGCUAGUUGGUAAGGUAACGGCUUACCAAGGCAACGAUGCGUAGCCGACCUGAGAGGGUGAUCGGCCACACUGGAACUGAGACACGGUCCAGACUCCUACGGGAGGCAGCAGUAGGGAAUCUUCCGCAAUGGGCGAAAGCCUGACGGAGCAACGCCGCGUGAGUGAUGAAGGUCUUCGGAUCGUAAAACUCUGUUAUUAGGGAAGAACAAAUGUGUAAGUAACUAUGCACGUCUUGACGGUACCUAAUCAGAAAGCCACGGCUAACUACGUG